rnacentral:rRNA from 1 species
UACGAAGGGUGCAAGCGUUACUCGGAAUUACUGGGCGUAAAGCGUGCGUAGGUGGUUUGUUAAGUCUGUUGUGAAAGCCCCGGGCUCAACCUGGGAAUGGCAAUGGAUACUGGCAAGCUAGAGUGCGGUAGAGGGUAGUGGAAUUCCCGGUGUAGCGGUGAAAUGCGUAGAGAUCGGGAGGAACACCAGUGGCGAAGGCGGCUACCUGGCCUGUUCUUGACGCUGAGGCGCGAAAGCUAGGGGAGCAAACGGG